rnacentral:lncRNA from 1 species
GACCAGUUCGAGUCUGGCUUCUCUCAUAUGCUGCUUGAGCUAGAGAUGAACUUAGAUCUCAAGGCUCAGCCUCAGGAACUCAACAUCACCUCAGCCCAGCACCAGUUCCUCAGCUGAAAUGUUUCCAGAAAAUCCAAGUCCAGCUAGUUUGAAAAUUGGAGAAAAAGUCCAGCAGGAAGCGUACAGUCUUCAUUGCUGAGAGGAAGACUCCGACCAAGCCAACCUUUAAAAGCUUUGCUAAAAAUAAGCAAAGGCGCCACAGAAGCCGCACCCUGACGACAGUGCAUGACUCCAUCCUUGAGGACUUGGUCUUCCCAAGUGAGAUUGUGGGUAAGAGGAUCCGUGUGAAACUGCCUGGCAGCCGGCUCAUAAACGUUUGUUUAGACAAGCACAGCAGAACAACGCGGAGCACAGGGCCACAAAGUUGGAACUUUUUCUGGUGUGUAUAAGAAGCUCACAGGCAAGGACAUUAAUUUUUAAUUCCCAGAGUUUCAG